rnacentral:tRNA from 2 species
CGGGGCGUGGCUCAGCUUGGCUAGAGCGCUUCGUUCGGGACGAAGAGGCCGGUGGUUCAAAUCCACUCGCCCCGACCA